AAAAUCUGCCUAAAGUUGUGCAGACUCAGGCUGCAGACACACCAGGUCCAGUCUCUGCGUUUGGGUGUCCCUGGCACCUGCCAGCUGUGCGUCCUCGGAAUUGAGGACAUCGUGUUUUCAAUUUUCUUCAAUAAAGCAAUGAAUCUGGCAAUUUGCUGGCCUGCUUCGGCUAAACAGAAAGGACAAUUUGAGAAGGAUCAUAGUUCAGGGCCAGUCAGACGGAAACGAUUGAAAACAGAGAGCUGGCCGUGGCGGUUCCCCAGUGCAGCGCGCUGUCGCAGUUUGACUGACAAACUGACUUUUCCGAGGUGCUCGUGCCCAUUUCAGUCAGAGUUUAUUGAAGGUGAUUUUGAUCUUCUCCAUGAGGCCACAGCAGUGGCCGUGCCAUCUGUCACCUUGAUUGCAUCGUGGAGUCUCUGGAGAGAGCGCCAUGGCUCCUGAUCACUUACAGAUUGUGCGGCUUUCUCCUCCAUACGGACCACAUGCGCCGAGCCAGAUGGUGAACAUACACGCUGAUUAUAAGUCUUUAUCUACGUGCAGGAAGGAGAGGAACUAUUAGGUUUCCCUCAGGAGCUCCGCUCCUCUCUACCCUCAUGCUGCUCCUCGGCAAAUACAGUCUUCUUCAGCUGUCAUCGGCCUACCUUGGAAAAUUAAAAAAAUAAACAAUAAUUCCAUCACCGGGCCCGGGAACCCAAGCUGGUGCCUCAGAGCAGUCCCCUGGCCUGGCUCCCCUUCUCGCAGGCCCCACCCCCACCCUCUCCCUGCCUGUCAGCACUAGCUACAAAGAAGUUUGUUUGUGAAUGCAUCAUUAAUGUGUUAGUUUUUUGAGAAACCGGGAGGGGCCCACGGCUUGGAAAUGAGACCUCGGGACCCCCCAGCUCUUUUGUGCCAUUGGGAUGGGGCGAUAUGGCUUCCAUCGCAGUGUGCCAUGCGCUUCCAUUUAGAGAGUCUCGUUAUUCAUUCUUUCUUUUAAAAGUUCAUAUCCCACGUUUUUUGAACUAUAGGCAUGUUUUGUUUAAUAAUUUCAGGAGGAUUGCUCCCAUUUGUGUCAAAGCAACAGGGCCCUGGGAGGGAUUUAGAGGCAGGGGACAGUGGUCAGGAGAGGGAACCUCUAAGUACAGUACUGGACAGAGGUACUUGUGGAGGAUGGGCAGAGGUAGGGGCCCUCUGAAGUCCACUGCAGUUUCCCUCCCUGAGCACCACUGCCACUCACUGUGAGAGAAACAUCGCUGUGAGAAACUCAUCGCUGUGAGAGACUCGUCAGAGACCCAUUACUGUGAGAGACCCGUCACUGUGAGAGACCCAUCGCUGUGAGAGGCGCACCUCUGUGAGAGACCCGUCGCUGUGAGAGACCCAUUGAUGUGAGAGACGCAUCUCUGUGAGAGACCCGUCGCUGUGAGAGACCCAUUGAUGUGAGAGACGCAUCUCUGUGAGAGACCCGUCGCUGUGAGACACCCAUUGAUGUGAGAGACGCAUCUCUGUGAGAGACCCGUCGCUGUGAGAGACCCAUCUCAAAGAUUCUGCUGGGAAACUGUAGUAUGUACAAAAUUCUUCACCUCCUCACAGUUCACAUGGAACCAUGAAGAAAAAGGUCCUUGAUCUUUCUACUGUUUGGGCAUAAUUUUGCGAUGGCAAUGGUCACAGUUCCCAGUUCUCUCUCAAGUCUUCCUUAAGCCAGGAGCAGUCGUCACAGCAGGGACUCAGCCACAGCCUUAUGAAGUCCUGUGCCCCUUGUGGUGUUCUGAGAAAGGGCUCCAGCUUUCUAAGGUUUAAAAUGAGCAGAAGACUAUUUGGCUGAACUCUGUAAGAGACUCACCAAGAGAACUGAGAGGCUGCAGCUGAAGGGAAAGCAUGUGUCAUUACUGAGGACACAGGAGGGAAACUGAGGCAUUCCCUAGCUGCCCCUGUUCACCUGCUAUGUCUGUAAGAUAGGAGCUCAGCUGUUACCAGGAAAACCCUACAGGAUGGCUUACCUAGGAUGGUUUAUUUUCAUCUUCCUCGUAAUUCUGAGUUUCAUAGAAGCAAACUGCUUUGUCUGGGAUGCCUGGGUCAGAGCGCCGUGUACCCAGUUUACUGAAAAGCUAUGAUGUGAAGUCAAAGGCACCCAGAGCAAGGAAGAAAAUGAGUCUCACAGCGGCACGGAAUAGGCUUUCCAACAGCGUGGAUUAGGUGAGGAGGAGCUGCUUCCUAUUUCAGCCUCAGAUGUGAUCGUAGUCCCAAGUCACAUACUUGGAGCCUUGCUGAGGAACCAGCUAACUUGUGUCCAUACUCCUUCCUGACUGAUAGACUGAGAUUUCAAAAAAAAAAAAAAAAUAGAUCUUGUUUCAA